UCGUCGUUCUCUUUGGCUCUGCUGCUGUUGGUUCGCGUCGCCGUUCUCUUUUCUCUGAUCUGCUGCUGUUGGCUCGCGUCGCCGUUCUCUUUGCUCUGAUCUGCUGCUGUUGGCUCGCGUCGCCGUUCUCUUUGCUCUGCUCUGCUGUUGGCCGCUCUCGGGCUGCUGGCUCACUUCGUCGUUCUCUUUGGCUCUGCUGCUGUUGGUUCGCGUCGCCGUUCUCUUUGCUCUGCUCUGCUGUUGGCUACUGUGGGCCGCGAACUUAAAUUAUGACUUCAAAAUUUCACCUUAUAAUAUAACUUAGAAACUAAUAAUGGAAAAUUAUAAACUUAAUAAUAAAGACUUCAUGAUACCUCUCCUAAAUAUAUAAAACAAGUAACUUUCUUAGUGAAAACUUAACCCUAUAUAUAUA
rnacentral:lncRNA from 1 species